rnacentral:misc_RNA from 1 species
GAAAUGCGAUGAGUAAUGUGAAUUGCAGAAUUCAGUGAAUCAUCGAAUCUUUGAACGCACAUUGCGCCCGCCAGUAUUCUGGCGGGCAUGCCUGUUCGAGCGUCAUUACAACCCUCAGGCCCCCGGGCCUGGCGUUGGGGAUCGGCGGAAGCCCCCUGCGGGCACAACGCCGUCCCCCAAAUACAGUGGCGGUCCCGCCGCAGCUUCCAUUGCGUAGUAGCUAACACCUCGCAACUGGAGAGCGGCGCGGCCACGCCGUAAAACACCCAACUUCUGAAUGUUGACCUCGAAUCAGGUAGGAAUACCCGCUGAACUUAAGC